rnacentral:rRNA from 1 species
GACGACAUUAGACGAAUCAUCUGGAAAGAUGAAUCAAAGAAGGUAAUAAUCCUGUAGUCGAAAAUGUUGUCUCUCUUGAGUGGAUCCUGAGUACGACGGAGCACGUGAAAUUCCGUCGGAAUCUGGGAGGACCAUCUCCUAAGGCUAAAUACUCUCUAGUGACCGAUAGUGAACCAGUACCGUGAGGGAAAGGUGAAAAGCACCCCGGAAGGGGAGUGAAAUAGAACCUGAAACCGUGUGCUUACAAGUAGUCAGAGCCCGUUAAUGGGUGAUGGCGUGCCUUUUGUAGAAUGAACCGGCGAGUUACGAUUUGAUGCAAGGUUAAGCAGUAAAUGUGGAGCCGUAGCGAAAGCGAGUCUGAAUAGGGCGUUUAGUAUUUGGUCGUAGACCCGAAACCAGGUGAUCUACCCUUGGUCAGGUUGAAGUUCAGGUAACACUGAAUGGAGGACCGAACCGACUUACGUUGAAAAGUGAGCGGAUGAACUGAGGGUAGCGGAGAAAUUCCAAUCGAACCUGGAGAUAGCUGGUUCUCUCCGAAAUAGCUUUAGGGCUAGCCUCAAGUGAUGAUUAUUGGAGGUAGAGCACUGUUUGGACGAGGGGCCCCUCUCGGGUUACCGAAUUCAGACAAACUCCGAAUGCCAAUUAAUUUAACUUGGGAGUCAGAACAUGGGUGAUAAGGUCCGUGUUCGAAAGGGAAACAGCCCAGACCACCAGCUAAGGUCCCAAAAUAUAUGUUAAGUGGAAAAGGAUGUGGCGUUGCCCAGACAACUAGGAUGUUGGCUUAGAAGCAGCCAUCAUUUAAAGAGUGCGUAAUAGCUCACUAGUCGAGUGACACUGCGCCGAAAAUGUACCGGGGCUAAACAUAUUACCGAAGCUGUGGAUUGUCCUUUGGACAAUGGUAGGAGA